GUUGAAGAAUCCCAGGCAUGGAGUGGUGAAAGGAUUUGUCUAAGACCACACAGCUGGUGCUUGUCGUUGGGACUGUGGUGAGCCUCUGCCACCCACCCCCGCAAGGCAAGAAAAUGAUCCCAAAGACCAGGCUCGUGCACUGCUUCGAGAUUCUUGCAUGCAGGGUACCCCUGAUGCUGACCAAGUUGAGGGGCCACUGCCAUUGCCUAAAGGAAGGGCUGCUAGGUCUUCACGCCCUUCUGAGUGGGAGGAACGAGGCAGUGGAGCGUAGCAAGGUCACUUUCUCAGUGGCCGUGUUGUCACAGUUACAUAACUCCCCCCCCAACCCCCCUUGGCUUCCUGCACCCAGAGUCCAAACUCCAGGCCCUCCUCCGUCAGGAGGCCACCUGCCUGGGCUCCGGGAGGCCUGUCCACACAGGCCCGCGGCUGCUUGCCCAUAAUUAGGAGUUACCUGCCCGUCCGCCCGCCCACCAGGACUGGGCAUGUCAGCCAGAGGGACUCUGGCUUCUCCAGCUCCAAAGGCGGAGCACAGGGGCCUCCGUCCUCACCACACCGGCAACGAGGCGCCUCCAUCCUCACCACACCAGCAACGAGGGGUUCUGUGGCUACAAGGCCCCCAGCAAGGCCGGGCGGCCUGCCUGCCUCCAGCUGCCCCGCGUGGGCCAGGCCCGGGAGGAAGGCAGAGCGGUCUGCGCUGUGGCCAUCAGGAGGCAACCCGAGGCCCUAGCUCCAUCCUCGGGGCAGAUGUCUGCAGCGGCCCCGAGUCCCAACGGUACUAAUUAGAAUCUGCUGUAACGCCUUCCUUUCCCAGAGUCGUCCUUUAAAUAUCUUUGGAACUGGUUUCAGGAGGCAGACUUGUGAAACAGACACGUAGGAAGGGCUGGCACCUUCCCCUGAAGCUGCUCAUUAAAACAAACAAGCAAAAAUGUGUUUUGCCAAAUAUGAAAGGAGCUCCAGCCUUGUGUUAAAACCUGACCUUUGAAAAUGGGUUGUUUCUCCCAAAUCAGGGCCCCGUGGAGGGGCACUCGGGGGCUCCUGGGGUGAAGGACGGCCGCUUGAGCUGCUGGAUGGGCCUAAUCCUGCCCCCCUGUAAAUUCAAGGCAGGGACGGGUCUUAAACUGACAUAUGCCCGCAGGGCCAGGCAUGCAGCAAGCGCACCCUCGAAUGUGUGGAUGGAUGGAAAGGCCCUGAGUUCUGGCUCAGGGCUUCCCAGCUGCCCUGUGCUAACCUUAACAAGCCCCUUCCCAUUUCUCCUAAGUAUCUCCCAUCUUAAUAAAUAGCAAUAGCUACCAUGUACUGUGGGCCCCGAGGUACGAUAGGCCCUCUAGUGGCAUCCUCUCAUUUAAUCACUCAACUGCCCUAUGAGAGAGGGGGUACUGCUAUACCCAUUUUAAAGCAGAGUAAACUGAGGGUAGGAGAAGGGAGCAGAGGUUGCAAACUGGUGGCCCUACAGCCAAAUAUGGUUUGCAAACAUGUUUUCUUUUCCUCGCACUCUAUUUAAAAAUAUUUAAAAAACGAGCUGCCAACACUUUAAAGUGAGGAUAAUUUACACCAAAAAAAUCCAGAUAGCUUUAUUUCAGAAAAAUCAGGAGGUCUGGUAAUUGCGAACCCUCAUUCCAUCGCACAUGGUAACAGUGUGCCCCCCACCCUGUCAUGCCCACUGUCCCCCUGUCUCCCCCUGCCUCCCUCGCUCAGGUAAGUGACCCGCCUGGGCCCUCCAGGCACGGAGUUCACCCCACUGUCCUCAGGCCACAGGUAGCUCCAGGCAGAGUCAGUGCAGUCCAGGGUCCAUCUGUCUAUCUGUUUCUCUUGCACAUCUCACUAGUGCCCCACUCCUGGGAGAUGCCAAUGUAUUAGAUCAGAGGAGCACUGGACAGGGAGUCAGGAGAUGGGGGUGUUUGUUCUACCCCUGGAACAGCCUCCAGCACCAACAACCUCAUUGUUCAGAGGAGAGAGUCCGUCAGGGACGGCCCAGACUCCGCACUCUGAGAUGCAGGGCCUGAGCUGGGAGGCGGAGCCAGCGUGUCCCUGCCCAGGUCAGUGUGAGGACAAGGAUGCCCGCCAGGCACUGGGCAAGCCAGUUGGCGCUUGGCACUGCCAAGGGGGAAUGCUCAUCCAAGUUCCAGGAGCAGAAACCAUGCUUUCCGCGCCCUUUCUCUUUCUUCAUCCUGCACACGUCUGACGAAGGAAGAGACUGAGGCCCAGAGAGGGGGAGCGAUUGCCCGAGGUCACACAGGAAACUGAUGCCCGUGUUGGCACAAGCUGGGGCUUCUUCAGUCCUUCCUGGGCACUUCCCAGAUUCUCUCUCCCUUAGGAAUUCAGAGCCCUCCGGCUUCUUGGAAUUGGGCCCCAGACGGGGGACCGAGUGGCCCACAUGGGCAGGCGCUGUCGGGCUCAGAGGCCUCGCCCAGGGCUCGUCAUGGUUUCUAAGGCGCAAACCAUUGCAAAGAGAAUCCUCAUUCUGCGGGCUCCGGGACGGUGAGCCGCCCGCCUCUAGGGUGGAAGUGGGUGUACAGGAAAGGUUGCAAUGCUGGCAGACGGCAGCCCACGUUUGGCUCACAGGCAUAUUUUGUUUUUCCCACAGUGUUUUUAAAAAUUCACACGAGUUGCCAACAUUUAAGAAUCAGGGGAUUUCACACAAAAGACGGGAUUUCUGGCUCCUUGUGAACACUUUCAAGAUCUGGCAAAAGCUGGACCACAUUUUCCCCCAGCAAUGCCGGCAGGAGCGAGGCCCGCCCCCUCUCAUCCACCAGCCUCGGCACCCUGCCUGGCCUGUGUGAGCUC